GGUAGAUAGGUUGGAGGUGGAAGUGCAGCAAUGCAUGGAGCUGACCAAUACUAAUCGGUCGAGGGCUUAUCCAA
rnacentral:rRNA from 1 species